GCGUCUUUAGCAUAAUGGCAAUGCAAACGUCUUCGGAACGUUCAAAUAAGGGUUCGACUCCUUUAGGGCGCU